AUGGGAAAGAAACCUGGAAAGGUAGGGAGGUAUGGAUAUGGACAAGCUAUGCCAAGGAGCAGGGCUUUGUCAUGGAGAGUGACUAGGUGCUUUUACAUAGGAAAGUCACCUGAUAAUAUUAAAACCUGUGAAAUAUCACUCUGGUGGAAGUGUGAAUGAAUUUGAAAGGGGUGUAACACUGUUCUACUUUGUUUACUCCUCAGUACCCUUGGCUGUGUACAUUUGAGUAAAGAGAGCACUAUAAAAUCAAAAACCAAUGAAAUGGUUUCCAGAACACAGAACUAUUAAGCUUAAGAAAAGGACAGAAGGAACUGAAGAGAGAGGAACUGUUUUGGAGCAUCACACUUCCACCUCAGAAGAAAUAAGGAAGGAAGGAGGAGGGUGUUCCCACGGCUCUUCAACCAGGCCGGCUCUUCAGCCUACAUCCCCAUCUCAUCAAGUAAAAGGGAUUUUUCAACUGGACCAACCAGAUGGUUUAACAGUGCACUCCCACACCAUUCAACUACGCAAGGGAGAUACACUUAACAUAUGCAGUCGUAUAACACCUACUAACAUUUUCAAACAUUAAACCUUUAAAAAAGAGUUCUAAAGAAAUAGAAGCUUGAAGUAUCAUCUCUCAAGUAUAUAGACACUACUUCAUGGUGUGGUAAUAUAUGCAUAUAGAAGCUAGUAAACACCUCCAGGAGAUGCAAAAGGAAUUAGAACUGCCACAAGGUGCAAGCAAAACCUUGAGUCUCCAUUGAUGGUGAAGUAUUUUCACUAUUUGGCAUGUCUUCUCUAGUACCUAGAGCAGUGCGUUGCAUGCAGUAGCAGGUUUAUAAACAUUUGCGAGUAAAACAUCCAACCUGAUACUCAAGCUUCUUUAAAAUAUGAAGACUUCGAAGUUAUUUAUCCAAACCAACCUGAUCAUUUCUUAAGAGUGAAUAUACCUUGGAAGACGUGUCCUGCCUUUAGUAGCGUCACAAUGGAUUACAUCCUCUAUAAAGCAGUCUGGGGUGAGAAAAUCGAAUUUGGACACCGUUGAGGAGACUAUUGCAGUCAUCCAAGCUCAAGAUGGUGGAGCUUCAUCCUUGAGAAUAACCAAUGGGGAUAGAUUUAAGAGACACUUAGAGUCUGCAGCCAACAGGGCUGAAUGAGCAGAGAGUUAUGAUUCAGAAGAUCAUCUAAAAUUGAACAGCUGCCACUACUGGCAAUAAGUCUACUGCCAUUUGGUAGAUAACCUUCUUAUCACACAGAAAAAUAUCAGUACAGACAAAUAGACCGCAAAGAAAAUGAGACCAUCAGCAAAGAAGAUAAAGAAGUUUGUACAAAGCAACUUUUUAUAAAUGGAUGGCUGUCAGGCAAAAAUAAAUUUCCUGUGGACAAGACCAAGAGCAAGGCAAGAGGAAAAUAAACAUGUUUAAAC
rnacentral:lncRNA from 1 species